GUAUCCUUCGCGAAUGAUCAGAAUCCUGAACGCACUUCGACGUCGCCGCUCGCCGCUCCCCUAGGGAUGCCGCUGGCUCGUUACGCAUUUGCGCGCUUGGUUCGGUUUGUUCGAAGCGUCGAAAUGAAGCCACGGAAAUCCGUGGCUUUUGU
rnacentral:ncRNA from 1 species